UAGUCGGCCCGAUUCUGGCUGAGUGCCGGCAGUGUCGGCCGAGGCCCGGAUCGGCUGAAGCACAGCAAACACAGUCGGCCCGAUCCUGGCUGAGUGCUGCCACUGUCGGCGGAGCUUCAAUCGGCUGAGGCACUGUACCCCCGUUGAAUGGGCCGACACUGACAUGCAGUAGUUGGGCUGGUUACUUUGUUUCUUACUUGGCCCGAUUGUGGUUUGACGGGCUACUGCCGAUGUUCGAAGCAAGUUCGGCUGAAGAACAACAAACACUGUCGGCCCGAUCCUGGCUGAGUGCUGCCACUGUCGGUGGAGUUUCAGUCGGCUGAGGCACUGUACCCCCGUUGACUGGGCCGACACUGACACGCAGUAGUUGGGCUGAAUACUUUGCAUCUUACUUGGCCCGAUUAUGGUUUGAUGGGCUACUGCCGGAGUUCGGCAGACGGAUCUCAUACAGCGUGUGGGCCGAUACUUACAGAACGGACACUGAUCAGUAGCAUUGAUGUUGGCGGCGAAAUUGAAAUAGUAAACGGCAGACGGAAACUAAACGUACAUGGCCCGAUUCUGUAAAGUGACUGUCGGCCCAUUACAUGUGGAAGAGCGGUGGAACAAAUAUUAACUGAAGAUUGAAACCAGAACGGCGCGAAACUGUCUCGUUUUGGACACUGUCUGUGGCAGCACGGACCAGAGACCUGCUUCUUUGGAUGAAGCUUAGUGGUGGCGUUGGAAGACAGGAGAUAUAUGCUUUGGGUUUGCGUCAUCCACUACGUCAGCAAAGAACAGAAUCGGGGAAUGACUACAUGGCCAACUGCAUCUCGUGGAAGUUGUUCUGAAGAUGCGAUGCGUGAAGGAAGGAAGUCCACAAGCAUGUGUGCUUCAGAACUCUUUGACCAACCCCCAACUGAGAGAGCUGAGCGAAGUGGCUAUCAGUAAGUCUAUUUGUGGGGACAGACUUACUCUGACAGAUGACAUCUUACAAACUAUGCUGUAGAUCUCAUAAUGAUCUUGCAAUAUGUAUUCUUUUAUAACUAAAUGCAGUUUGGAGAUAUUCCCCAGCUGCUAGUGAUGAUGCAACAUGUGUAGGCAAUAACUAAGCAGCAACAGAAAGAUAAGGCACUUUGUGUGUG